UGACUCACCAGCUGGCAGCAAACAAAGCCCAAAGUCCCCUCCCCACGUGUGCAGCCACGGCUCAGCCUCCCCCUCCCACCCCGGUGUUUGUGCACUCCAAGCUGUGGAAGCCAAGUGCGGCCCAACACAUGUCUGUGUUCAGGCUCAUUGUGUCAGAAUUGACUGCUGGGGUCUGCUUGGAUUCCCAACUCCCUCAUCCAGCACAUUAGCUAUUCCUCCCAGCUUCCUGUCCUCUACAAAAACCCUGCACCCAGGCCUGUGCCAGACCUUGGGUUUUAAGGACCUAGAGCCAAACUAGACUUAGCCUUGCCUUGGAGGAGUUCCAGUCUGCUGGGACAGGUGGUCACAGACAGACAGUGAAGACAGAGGAAAUUAUAACAAUU
rnacentral:lncRNA from 10 species